UUUCUAUCCAACUGGUAACAGGCUAGGUUUCUAUCCAUCUGUUAACAGGCUAGGUUUCUAUCCAACUGGUAACAGGCUAGGUUUCUAUCCAUCUGGUAACAGGCUAGGUUUCUAUCCAACUGGUAACAGGCUAGGUUUCUAUCCAACUGGUAUGGUAACAGGCUAGGUUUCUAUCCAACUGGUAACAAGCUAGGU